UACCUUGCUAUGCAGGUGGAGCAGCUGCGGCGCAAGUUGGACCACCUGCGGAACACCUGCCAGGUGUCGCGUGAGUGCAAGCUGGGCGUGGGCGCGGAGGCUGACCUGUCGGCGGUCGAGGAGAAGCUGACGGCGUCGCUCGACCUUCGCUGGCCCGGGAAAAUCGCCAAUCAGCAGUCUCGACAUGUUGCCAACAUGAAGCAGUUGCAGGCCGAGGUAUCCGGCAG